AAGCUGUGGAAGCACAUUUCUUGUGUGACCGCGUACUUUUUGUAGAACGGGCCAACGAGUUACGUUAAGUAGCAAGGUUAAGCACUUAAGGGGCGGAGCCGUAGCGAAAGCGAGUUUUAACUGAGCGUUCAGUUACUUGACGUAGACCCGAAACCGGGCGACCUACCCAUGAGCAGGAUGAAGCGAAAGUAAAAUUUCGUGGAGGUCCGAACCCACGAGCGUUGAAAAGCUCGGGGAUGACUUGUGGGUAGCGGUGAAAUUCCAAUCGAGCCCGGAGAUAGCUGGUUCUCCCCGAAAUAGCUUUAGGGC
rnacentral:rRNA from 1 species